rnacentral:rRNA from 1 species
ACCGGGUCCGGACACACUGAGGAUUGACAGGCGUUUACUUGUUUUUUUGGCAUCGAAGUUCGCUUCAGUGUCCUUAAUUCAAGUAUAGCAAAUAUGCUAGUCCUUUCAUGAUUGUGUGAUAGGUGGUGCAUGGCCGUUCUUAGUUCGUGGAGUGAUCUGUCUGCUUAAUUGCGUUUCACAUAUAUGAACGAAAGUGCCCCGCCUGUGUUUGUGGUACGCCACGAACACGGCUUUGAUGUGGGUUACUACAAGUUCUGAAGGCAACGACCGUGACCG